UACGUAGGGUCCGAGCGUUGUCCGGAAUUAUUGGGCGUAAAGCGCGCGUAGGCGGCUACUUAAGUCGGAUGUGAAAGCCCUUGGCUCAACUGAGGAAGUGCACCCGAAACUGAGUGGCUUGAGUACUAAAGAGGGUCGCGGAAUUCCCGGUGUAGAGGUGAAAUUCGUAGAUAUCGGGAGGAACACCGGUGGCGAAGGCGGCAUCCUGGACCAACACUGACACUGAGGAGCGAAAGCCAGGGGAGCAAACGGG
rnacentral:rRNA from 1 species